rnacentral:rRNA from 1 species
CCUCUAACAUAUAAUUAAUUCAAUAGAUCCCAUUAGAACUUUUCAUUUAAGCACACUUAAGAUAGAUUAGUACUAGGAUGGGUGACCCCACGGGAAGUCCUAGUGUUUUACAUGC